UAAGGAAUAUUGGUCAAUGGACGCAAGUCUGAACCAGCCAUGCCGCGUGAAGGAUGAAGGUCCUCUGGAUUGUAAACUUCUUUUAUCUGGGACGAAAACGGGAUUUUUAUCUCAAUUGACGGUACCGGAGGAAUAAGCACCGGCUAACUCCGUGCCAGCAGCCGCGGUAAUACGGAGGGUGCGAGCGUUAUCCGGAUUUACUGGGUUUAAAGGGUGCGUAGGUGGGCUUAUAAGUCAGUGGUGAAAUCUCCGAGCUUAACUUGGAAACUGCCGUUGAUACUAUAGGUCUUGAAUUAUCUGGAGGUAAGCGGAAUAUGUCAUGUAGCGGUGAAAUGCUUAGAUAUGACAUAGAACACCAAUUGCGAAGGCAGCUUACUACAUAUAAAUUGACGCUGAGGCGCGAAAGCGUGGGGAUCAAACA
rnacentral:rRNA from 1 species